rnacentral:rRNA from 1 species
UGGGGAAUAUUGGACAAUGGGCGCAAGCCUGAUCCAGCCAUGCCGCGUGAGUGAAGAAGGCCUUAGGGUUGUAAAACUCUUUCGCCGGGGAAGAUAAUGACGGUACCCGGAGAAGAAGCUCCGGCUAACUUCGUGCCAGCAGCCGCGGUAAUACGAAGGGAGCUAGCGUUGUUCGGAAUUACUGGGCGUAAAGCGUGCGCAGGCGGUUUGGUAAGACAGAUGUGAAAUCCCCGGGCUUAACCUGGGAACUGCAUUUGUGACUGCCAGACUAGAGUGUAGCAGAGGGGGGUAGAAUUCCACGUGUAGCAGUGAAAUGCGUAGAUAUGUGGAGGAAUACCGAUGGCGAAGGCAGCCCCCUGGGCUAACACUGACGCUCAUGCACGAAAGCGUGGGGAGCAAACAGGAUUAGAUACCCCGGUAGUCCCUGAGCGGGCUGGCAAGGCGCAU